AAUUAUACCGUGAAACUGCGAAUGGCUCAUUAAAUCAGUUAUCGUUUAUUUGAUAGUACCUUACUACUUGGAUACCUGUGGUAAUUCUAGAGCUAAUACAUGCUAAAAACCCCAACUUCGGAAGGGGUGUAUUUAUUAGAUAAAAAACCAAUGCCCUUCGGGGCUCCUUGGUGAUUCAUAAUAACUUCUCAGAUCGCAUGGCCUUGCGCCGGCGACGGUUCAUUCAAAUUUCUGCCCUAUCAACUUUCGAUGGUAAGGUAUUGGCUUACCAUGGUGGCAACGGGUAACGGGGAAUUAGGGUUCGAUUCCGGAGAGUUAGCCUGAGAAACGGCUAACACAUCCAAGGAAGGCAGCAGGCGCGCAAAUUACCCAAUCCCGAUACGGGGAGGUAGUGACAAUAAAUACUGAUACAGGGCUCUUUUGGGUCUUGUAAUUGGAAUGAGUACAAUUUAAACCUCUUAACGAGGAACAAUUGGAGGGCAAGUCUGGUGCCAGCAGCCGCGGUAAUUCCAGCUCCAAUAGCGUAUAUUAAAGUUGUUGCAGUUAAAAAGCUCGUAGUUGAACCUUUGGCCUGGCUGGCAGGUCCGCCUCACCGCGUGCACUUGUCCGGCCGGGCCUUUUCUUCUGGAGAACCGCAUGCCCUUCACUGGGUGUGUUGGGGACCAGGACUUUUACUUUGAAAAAAUUAGAGUGUUCAAAGCAGGCCUUUGCUCGAAUAUUACAGCAUGGAAUAAUAGAAUAGGACGUGCGGUUCUAUUUUGUUGGUUUCUAGGACCGCCGUAAUGAUUAAUAGGGACAGUCGGGGGCAUCAGUAUUCAAUUGUCAGAGGUGAAAUUCUUGGAUUUAUUGAAGACUAACUACUGCGAAAGCAUUUGCCAAGGAUGUUUUCAUUAAUCAGUGAACGAAAGUUAGGGGAUCGAAGACGAUCAGAUACCGUCGUAGUCUUAACCAUAAACUAUGCCGACUAGGGAUCGGGCGGUGUUACUAUUUUGACUCGCUCGGCACCUUACGAGAAAUCAAAGUGUUU
rnacentral:rRNA from 1 species